UCCUUCUCCAGGGGAUCUUCCUGACCCAGGGAUCAAACUCGUGUCUCUUGUGUCUCCUGCAUGAGCAGUGACAACUCAAUGAACAAGUCAUUCAGGAAUAAAGUUUCUUUAUAACUGACCAAAGUUCACAGAACUGAUCUACAUGAAAAUGUAGAGGCAAUCCCACGUCUGGGUAUACAUCCAAAGUAAACGAAAACAGAGUUCCAGAGAGAUGGCUGCACUUUCACGUUCACAGGAGCACUGUUUACAAUAGCCAAGACGUGGAAUCAACCCAAGUGUCCAUCCACAGAAGAAUGAAUAAAGACGGUGCGAUGUAUACAUGGACGAUCUCCAACUUAUGACAGUCUGACUUAUGAUUUCUGACUUUAUGUUGGUGCAAGAAUGAUAUGCAUUCUGUAGAAACUGUACUUUGGAUUUUGAUCUUUUCCUGGGCUAGUGACAACAUGCUACGCUAUUCUCUCGUGUGGUUCUGGGAGCCUGGCUCCCAGUCAGCCAGAGGAACACGUGACUGCACAGCUGACACUCCUGUUGCCAUUCCAUACCCUUAACAACCAUUCUGUUCUUCACUUUCAGUACAGAAUUCAAUACAUGACAUGAAAUAUUCAACACUUUUUUGUGUGUGAAAUAGGCUUUGUGUUAGAUGGUUUUGCCCAACUGUAGUCUAAUGUUAAGUGUCC
ensembl:lncRNA